AUUGAACGCUGGCGGCAGGCCUAACACAUGCAAGUCGAACGAGUGGCGGACGGGUGAGUAAUGUCUGGGAAACUGCCCGAUGGAGGGGGAUAACUACUGGAAACGGUAGCUAAUACCGCAUACCAUCGGAUGUGCCCAGAUGGGAUUAGCUUGUAGGUGGGGUAACGGCUCACCUAGGCGACGAUCCCUAGCUGGUCUGAGAGGAUGACCAGCACCACUGGAACUGAGACACGGUCCAGACUCCGACGGGAGGCAGCAGUGGGGAAUAUUGCACAAGGGGCGCAAGCCUGAUGCAGCCAGGCCGCGUGUAUGAAGAAGGCCUUCGGGUUGUAAAGUACGUUCAGCGGGGAGGCGUGACCCGCAGAAGAAGCACCGGCUAACUCCGUGCCAGAAGCCGCGGUAAUGC
rnacentral:rRNA from 1 species